rnacentral:rRNA from 1 species
AUGCAAGUCGAGCGGCAGCGGAAAGUAGCUUGCUACUUUGCCGGCGAGCGGCGGACGGGUGAGUAAUGUCUGGGAAACUGCCUGAUGGAGGGGGAUAACUACUGGAAACGGUAGCUAAUACCGCAUAACGUCGCAAGACCAAAGAGGGGGACCUUCGGGCCUCUUGCCAUCAGAUGUGCCCAGAUGGGAUUAGCUAGUAGGUGGGGUAACGGCUCACCUAGGCGACGAUCCCCAGCUGGUCUGAGAGGAUGACCAGCCACACUGGAACUGAGACACGGUCCAGACUCCUACGGGAGGCAGCAGUGGGGAAUAUUGCACAAUGGGCGCAAGCCUGAUGCAGCCAUGCCGCGUGUAUGAAGAAGGCCUUCGGGUUGUAAAGUACUUUCAGCGGGGAGGAAGGUGUUGUGGUUAAUAACCACAGCAAUUGACGUUACCCGCAGAAGAAGCACCGGCUAACUCCGUGCCAGCAGCCGCGGUAAUACGGAGGGUGCAAGCGUUAAUCGGAAUUACCGGGCGUAAAGCGCACACAGGCGGUCUGUCAAGUCGGAUGUGAAAUCCCCGGGCUCAACCCGGGAACUGCAUUCGAAACUGGCAGGCUAGAGUCUUGUAGAGGGGGGUAGAAU